GGAGAAAUUACAAAACCUUCAAAGCGGCUCUUCUGCAGGUUUGUCAUCGCCGACAAUUCAAUUUUCACUCUUUUUUCAACAAGUGAAACGAGAGAUGUAAAGCUUCAGAAAGGUGAUAAAAACAAGAUAAUUAAAUCAAUCAUAUCCGACUGAAGGUCAGUAACAAAAAUAAUUUAUAUUUCUAUGCAUAGUACAUUUGAAAAACGCAACACUUUGGGCUGCAUAAUAUGGAGUAAGUGACAUACGAAAGUUUUGUAAAUUAAUCUAGAAUGAAAUACGCUCUACGACAGUUAAAAAUAUGAUUUAUCAAAGUAGGAAAGUAAUCACAAUAAAUAAUCAACAGAAUUGAAAAAUUCAAGAAAGUUUAUGUAAGAUUCAUUCAGAAUACAUUGACAGUACAACUAGUUAACCAAACCAGGUCCAACUGACAAAACGAACAGAUCUCAAAAAAUACCAUUCCCUACAGCUACAUUCACCACACACAUGAAAAAUCAUAUAUUUUGGACGCAAUAACAUUAUUUAAAGAUGAAAAAUAUACAUUGUACUCGACAAAGGUACUCGAGAAAAAUACUGCGCAACUCAAAGGGACGUAGUGCACUAUUGAAUAUAUCAGUGCGUAUACUGCGAGGUUACAUUGGGACCAUUGCCAUGGUGAUCAUAUGACUUAGAUCUAAGUAAAACCAUAUAGCCGUAGUCGUUAAAUUA